rfam:Cycloclasticus sp. symbiont of Bathymodiolus heckerae isolate specimen P Ga0097674_1084, whole genome shotgun sequence.
GGUGGUAGGUCUACCGAAGUCUGCGAUCGGAAGCUGGCUUCAAACCACCUCAAGCUGCUUGUAUUAAGAGUACAGGUAGUGAGCGUUGAGGAAAAGCUAACUGAUUAGGUUAGCAGGU